rnacentral:rRNA from 1 species
CACGUAGGGUGCGAGCGUUGUCCGGAAUUAUUGGGCGUAAAGAGCUCGUAGGCGGUGUGUCGCGUCGGCCGUGAAAACCUGCAGCUUAACUGUGGGCUUGCGGUCGAUACGGGGCAUCACUGGAGUUCGGCAGGGGAGACUGGAAUUCCUGGUGUAGCGGUGAAAUGCGCAGAUAUCAGGAAGAACACCCCGUGGCGAAGGCGGCUCUCUGGUACGGUGACUGACGCUGAGACGCGAAAAGCGUGGGGGAGCAAAACAGGAUUAGAAAACC